UCAGAGAUGGGGCACGGGGAAGCUGCUUCCUGCUGGGGAGCCGGCGGCACCUGCUCGGAGCAGCUGAGACCUCUGUGGAGCACAGCACUGUGCCCUUGCUGGCAGGUCAAGCCGCUGCCGGUUUCCCGCAGGAGCGCGGCACAGCCGCCAGGAAAGGAGCCCUCGGGGAGGCAGGCUGGGCUGUCCCGUGCUUCUCCUCGGGGUCUGGAGAGACCACCUGAAACGCUCGUGUGUUUUGGAGACCUCGUUCGACAGGCUCUGGAUCAGCAUUUCGUUUUACCUCAGCCAACAGCUGGCUCUCCACCAGGAUGUCCACAUUCCUGGUCUGGGGACAUUUGCGGUGGUGAAGAAGGCAGUAGUCAGGACGGGGAAGGAUCUGGUGGUUGUGGUGAGACCCGUGUUCCGCCUGUGCCAGACUGUUGCAACGCAUUAUGGCCUCCGAUGCACUGACACAGCCGCUGCUGUUCCUGGACGUCGUAAGCAGCUGCCCUAUGCUCGGAUCGCCUCAGACGACGGUGUCUUGCAGAGCACGGUGCAGCUUUGCAUGGAAAGGAC